rnacentral:rRNA from 1 species
CCGAGAAUAUUCGACAAUGGACGAAAGUCUGAUCGAGCGACGCCGCGUGAAUGAUGAAGUGCUUCGGCACGUAAAAUUCUUUUAUGGGGGAGAAAGUUUAUUGAUAGUACCCCACGAAUAAGAGGCUACAAACUCUGUGCCAGCAGUAGCGGUAAUACAGAGGCCUCAAGCGUUAUCCGGAAUUACUGGGCGUAAAGGGUGUGUAGGUGGUUUAGUUAGUCUUCUGUUAAAUUCUUCGGCUUAACCGGGG